rnacentral:rRNA from 1 species
UGGGGAAUUUUGGACAAUGGGCGAAAGCCUGAUCCAGCAAUGCCGCGUGUGUGAAGAAGGCCUUCGGGUUGUAAAGCACUUUUGUCCGGAAAGAAAUGGCUCUGGUUAAUACCUGGGGUCGAUGACGGUACCGGAAGAAUAAGGACCGGCUAACUACGUGCCAGCAGCCGCGGUAAUACGUAGGGUCCAAGCGUUAAUCGGAAUUACUGGGCGUAAAGCGUGCGCAGGCGGUUGUGCAAGACCGAUGUGAAAAUCCCCGAGCUUAACUUGGGAAUUGCAUUGGUGACUGCACGGCUAGAGUGUGUCAGAGGGGGGUAGAAUUCCACGUGUAGCAGUGAAAAUGCGUAGAGAUGUGGAGGAAUACCGAUGGCGAAGGCAGCCCCCUGGGAUAACACUGACGCUCAUGCACGAAAAGCGUGGGGAGCAAAACAGGAUUAGAUACCCUGGUAGUCCACGCCCUAAAACGAUGUCAACUAGUUGUUGGGGAUUCAUUUCCUUAGUAAACGUAGCUAAACGCGUGAAAGUUGACCGCCU